UCGAUACCUGCACAGCAGAACAACCCGAGAACCGGUUAACAACCACUUGGGAGACUGGGGCAUGUCCCCUGCUCUCCCAAAUCCCGCUGCYGUGGGCAGCCCCCACCGGGGUCCACGGCUUCGGGCAACAACGAAACCCGGCACGGAAUGUGCCAAGGAAAUCGAAUAAGAGAAGCGCUGUCCCGCGACCCCCGUCCGCGGG
rnacentral:misc_RNA from 1 species